rnacentral:misc_RNA from 1 species
GUAUUCUUUUUGCCAGCGCUUAAUUGCGCGGCGAAAAAACCUUACACACAGUGUUUUUUGUUAUUACAAGAACUUUUGCUUUGGUCUGGACUAGAAAUAGUUUGGGCCAGAGGUUUACUGAACUAAACUUCAAUAUUUAUAUUGAAUUGUUAUUUAUUUAAUUGUCAAUUUGUUGAUUAAAUUCAAAAAAUCUUCAAAACUUUCAACAACGGAUCUCUUGGUUCU